GGCGCACUGGUCGCAGCACGCCGCGCUCGGCGUCUUGCAGCUGCCCCAGAGCGGGACGCAGUUCGGCGGCGGCGGAGGUCUCUUCACAUGGGUGCUGAAUUUCUGAAACACAUACCAAAUGAAGGAGACGAAAGUGCCAGAGAAGCGCCUGACGCGCGACGUGGGAAGAAAACCAGAUCCAGGGUGCAUUCAAAAGCGAAACUACCCAUGGUAAUCUUCAGGAGUCGGUGUCGGGAAUUUACAAACUGACCUGUCCUGGUGAGUAAC